AUUGAACGCUGGCGGCAUGCUUUACACAUGCAAGUCGAACGGCAGCACGGGCUUCGGCCUGGUGGCGAGUGGCGAACGGGUGAGUAAUAUAUCGGAACGUACCCAGAAGUGGGGGAUAACGUAGCGAAAGUUACGCUAAUACCGCAUACGAUCUAUGGAUGAAAGCAGGGGACCGCAAGGCCUUGUGCUCCUGGAGCGGCCGAUAUCUGAUUAGCUAGUUGGUGAGGUAAAGGCUCACCAAGGCGACGAUCAGUAGCUGGUCUGAGAGGACGACCAGCCACCCUGGAACUGGGCCACGGUCCAGACUCCUACGGGAGGCAGCAGUGGGGAAUUUUGGACAAUGGGCGCAAGCCUGAUCCAGCAAUGCCGCGUGAGUGAAGAAGGCCUUCGGGUUGUAAAGCUCUUUUGUCAGGGAAGAAACGGUAGAGGCUAAUAUCCUUUGCUAAUGACGGUACCUGAAGAAUAAGCACCGGCUAACUACGUG
rnacentral:rRNA from 1 species